ensembl:lncRNA
GUUAAAUCCUUGUUUAGUAGUUCAGUCAUUGCACAAGCACUUCAGACUCCAGAGGUGUUCACCUGUUCUACAUGCAUCUGAUUUCAUGUAAUGCACUACUGCACUGGAAAAACAAUCCAUCCGUUUCUAAAAUUCACUUAAUUUGCUCAUUUGCAUAACACCAUGACUGGAACUGAAAGUGCAUCAUAAUCACUCAUCACAAAACAUGGCAAUGGAUAUGAUGUAAUAAUGCUGAUAGAGACGGGUGAGUGAAUGCAGCAUUUAGCCUGUUUUACUAGUUCAUCAUUCAUUCCUUCUGUGUGUCAUGCAUAUGCAUGCAUGCAAAUGUUAUGCACAUCAUGCUGUGAUUGUGAGAUUGACUGCUCAGAUGUUUCAGUUCUCUCAGAUCACACAUCUGCUGUUGUGGAAUGUGACGAAGCCGUUUGAUUUGAAGAACUUGCACAAUGUUACCUAGUGUUUUAUCUCUCGGCUGUGCAUGCUGUACUGCGUCUUACAAAAGUAGGAAACAGGAAAGAGAAGGACAGACAGACCGUUCACACAUUGCUGCUUCACUCGGUUCCUCUCGUUUCCUCUGGAAUGUUAACAGGCUGAACCCUCACAAGUCAUCGGCGCAGGGCAUUCUGGUGUGGAUGAUUUCAAUGAGAGAACAUCCCUAAAUGCUUUGGGUUCACACUCCUAGACGAAUCACUCUGCUGUGAAGGACUGGCAUGAAGUCAAAAUAUUAAAGGCUCAACAAACACUCAUGCUUUCAUGUCUGUUGAGCAAAACAGUCAGGGAUAAGGUUAUAGAGCACCACAAUCAGAAGUAAAAAAUAGUAAAUUUUUUCCAACGUACAAUGACUUGCAUAAACUGUUAAAAACAGACCUUCUGCAAUGUAUGAGGUUGUUAAUUGAUGGUAUAUGCUUUUGUUUAAUAAUCAGCCUACGUUGCUUAAACAAAUUUUGAAAUAUUCAUGUAACAGCGGGAUUUCUAGUUAAAAACACAUAAUUGCACGAUUAUGCGAACUAAAUCAGGAACUGCAACAAGCAAAUCAUGCCACUCUUCCAUUCCCAUGAAGCUCUGCAAAUGACAUAAUAAAAGUCCCUAUGCUCUAAAACUACA